rnacentral:rRNA from 1 species
AUUGAACGCUGGCGGCAGGCCUAACACAUGCAAGUCGAACGAGUGGCGGACGGGUGAGUAAUGUCUGGGAAACUGCCUGAUGGAGGGGGAUAACUACUGGAAACGGUAGCUAAUACCGCAUACCAUCGGAUGUGCCCAGAUGGGAUUAGCUAGUAGGUGGGGUAACGGCUCACCUAGGCGACGAUCCCUAGCUGGUCUGAGAGGAUGACCAGCCACACGGGAACUGGGACACGGUCCAGAUGCCUACGGGGGGAAGCGGAGGGGAAUAUUGCACAAUGGGCGCAAGCCUGAUGCAGCCAUGCGGCGUGUAUGAAGAAGGCCUUCGGGUUGUAAAGUACUUUCAGCGGGGAGGCGUUACCCGCAGAAGAAGCACCGGCUAACUCCGUGCCAGCAGCCGCGGUAAUUC